rnacentral:lncRNA from 1 species
GUGCCACAAAUCUCAUUUUAACAAAUGAAAUGAAAUUGUCCGAAGUCAAGACAUUUUGGAACCAAAAAGUAUCGUAUCAUAUUCAUAACACACGCAGUGAAGAUCCCUCACAUAAGUAUGCCUCGUUGGCGCUAUUUCAGCAUGAGGACAGUAAAAUUCAAUGCGGUGUAUUAGAGAUUCCCCCUCAAAAUUACAAGCCAGAGCAAAAACACCGCCGUGAUUUAAUGUUAACCGUCUUGGAUGGGACUUGUGAUGUCAUAGUAAAUGGAAAACAUCAACAAUUGGAUUUUGGUUCCGUCAUGGUACUUCCCAAAGGUUCGUUGUACGGGAUCAAAAAUAUCGGCUUGAAAACUUGUAAAAUACUGUUUACGAUGAUGCCUGCCUUAGUACCUAAUUUAUCCAGUACUUAGUCACCUAUUUUGUGCCAGAUUUUAGAGUCGGAGAAGUCUUGGAAAACCGAAAAUGAAGAAAUUAUGGAAACCCUACUGUCAGUGGUCACAUUUUCUCCUCUUUUUUUAUGUUUAUUUCUUACCGUUUUGGAUGGGUGCAAACUUAGUGUUAUUAUUCAAUUCCUAAAGUACCCUUCUAAAUCCUUGAUGAGAUCAGUCGGUAGUUUUUGGAUUCGCAUCAAACGGUUAUGUGCCUAGUUUUUUACUUUUCAAUGUUGUCAGGUUUGUUGUAUGGGAUGAAAAAUAUCGGCUUGAAAACUUGUAAAAUACUGUUUACGAUGAUGCCUGCCUAAGUACUUAAUUUAUCUAGUGCUUAGUUACCUAUUUUCAUUGGUCAAUUCCCUUGGAUUUCCGUACACGGCCGAUUUUUUUCAUUACGGUUUUAAAUUUAUUUUUGUAUUAUUGUACACACUUGUCCUUAUAGUAUGUAUAUUUCUAAUUUUUAAAAAAUCAGAUUUUAUGGUGUGUGUUGUAAAAUUUUGUGAGAGUGAAUACACCAUUUUAAUGAGGAAGACAAAAAUGUUUGUCUUCUAUAGUAUGUAUACUUCUCAUUUUUAAAAAAUCAGAUUUUAUGGUGUGUGUUGUAAACAUUUUGUGAGAAUGAAUACACCAUUUUAAUUAGGAAGACAAAAAUGUUUGUCUUCUCUAUCACAGAAAAACUAUUUAUUAUGAGCAAUGCCUGUUUAAAAAAAGAGUGUACUUCCUUUUAUUUAUACUCUCUAUUUGGCUUAAAACAUGUAUUUUCCAAAAACAGUUAAACAGUAUUUUGAUGUAAAAUAUGAUGUUUUUACAAUUCGUUUUAAUACCUGUGAUAAGUAUAUUUUUUUGCUUGAAUACUUUAACAAUUAAAAGUCUACAGUCAAAUGAUUACAGAUGAGUUCUUGCAUCUCGAUCCUCUCUUAAAUCUUAUCCCUUCAUCUCAGAACAUCUUUUUUUACUCUUCUGACUCUCAUAAGAGAGUUGGUUUGUAUCUUUUGUUUUUGUUAAGGCUUUAAUAAUAGUAGAAGAACAAUUUCAAAAACGAGAGAAAAUUCAAUUGAGUUGGUAAGUAAACUAGUCUCUGAAAAAUGCAGAACGCAUGACAGAUAAAUAAAUAUGUAGUUAAAAAAUAAUUUAUUAUUCUCUUAAAAAUGGAACAAGAAGUAAAUUUAUACAAGGUUGAAAAUAUAUGAGUUUGGUCUUUUUUCCUACUUCCAUUCUUCCAACCAAAAUAGAUUGUAAUCGAAUUUAUGUUGAUUAGAUUGAACUUCAUAGUUUGGUGGUAGAUAAUAAUAUUUCAUCCGAACACUCAGUUUAAAAGUUUAAAAUUGACGGAACUAUCACCCUUUAAAAUUCCUGUAUAUCCUGAUAGAUGACAUAAUCCUCAGCAACAGUCUACAUUUACAAUUAUUUCUUACAUCUUUAUCUUACUAGUGAUGUGAACGGGCAACUAAUGCAAAUUGUAUUAAUUUCUAAAAGAAAAGAUUCUGGGGGAGCACUGCAGUGUGCGAUGAGGGAAACAUGUUCCAUUGUAUAUUUCUAACAGUGACGUCUUAUGUCUAGCAGAAUCUAAGAGUGAAGAAUUACACAAGACAAACAACUGGACGUAUUUCUACCAAACAGACCUAUGUGGAGGUGAGAAAUAUGGGGUGUGCUCGUCGAAGCUGUAUAAGAAGCAAUGUAAAAGUGGGCGUGAUUCCUUUUGAAGAAUUGGAAAAGCGGGAUAUUACAUUCUAUCAAACAGACCUAUGUGCCAACUGAAUGCGGGACUCAUGAGCCGCGGGCAUGGCACGAGAGCGUUGUGGACAGGGCUCAUGAGUUAAAGAACCCCGACGAUGACCUCCGUCUCGCGCCCCGGCUCCAUCAUUGCCGCUGACGUCACUGGCGCUUUAUUAUUCUCAUCCACUCUUACGGCCAGAGAACCAACGAGUAAACCCCAUAUUUCUCACCUUCACAUAGGUCUGUUUGGUAGAAAUACGUCCAACUGUGGUUUAGUCUGUGGAUACUUAUCAUUCAGAAAUAUUACUUUAUUUUACCUAUGACAUUCCACCAAUGAAACCAAUUGAUCCAUCAGGGUGGUUCAAAAAUGCAAGUCUUUAAACUGGAAAUAAAGAAAAGAAAAAGUUUAAAGAAACAUUUUUUACUAAUACUUUAUAUCUUUUUAAUAGCAACACUAAUAUUUCUAAAAUUUCCAGCAAAACUCUCCUGCAUUGUAAAAUGUUCAUAAAAUAAUUUUUUUUGGCUUGACUUCCACAAUCAAAACAAAACGGGUCAUUGAUGCAUUUGUUGAGUUGCUAAUCCAAAUGAAGAGGCGGCACUACUUUUUGAUCAUCAUAAAUCGCUAACAGAGCGUCGAAUAACUGUCUUUUGGCACUCUGCUCGUGAUUUCUGAUGAUCAAAAAUUAAAGGCGUCCCUUGAUUUUGAUUGGCAACACUCAACGACUCAUUAUGAUUGAUGGAACCAAACUUAUGCUCUAAUAUCAAUUGCUUAAAUUAACGUUUUGGGCUGAAGUCCCUUUUUCUGUAAAUAGUCCAACACAUAUUUCAUCAAUAAUUUGAAUAUUUUCCAAGAAGUCGGAGGAAGAAGUAGGAGGCAGGAUUCAGAUUACAAAAUUUUCACACAGCCUUUGAAGUAGGCUAAUUCUGACUAGAACACCUCCAAAAAAGAGGGAAUAAAACAGCAAACACUAAGCUUCCUUUGUUGCAAAGAUAAUAGCUUCAAGACAGCAUAGCAGCCUAUGCCUUCUUCUACACAUUCGUUUAGGAAAAAAUUAUUACCAUUAUUUUCUUUUUCAACGUCUCCUAAGGACAGUGUAAGAAAUUCGGGUUUUGAGCAGUAUCAGGCAGAUAAACCUGCUUAAAAAGUUAAUUGUAUUAGUUUAUAGUUAAGGAUCGCUGGAUUUCCUCAUUUUCUGGAUUUACAAUUAAAUGAGUAGUAGUUAAUUAUCUUCGGUGCUUUGAUUUUAAAUUUUUAAUUGGAGUAAUAAUCUUAAUCUCUUUACUUUCAGUUCUAUCCCAUGCUUUAACUGUAAUGUAAAACAGCGCACGUUCAGGUUGAGCCAUCAAAAAUCACUGAUCACUUCAUCAGGGUGAGACAUUGAGUCUUGAGGCAUGAUUUAAUAGUUAGGAUAGUUCCCCUUAGUUUAUUCUUUUAUUUUAUCAUGUUUCAAUUUUGUUGUGAAGUGUGAGGAGAAAUCUCCGCACAAUCAGGAUCCUGAAGAUGAGCAUAUGAAUGCUAGAAAUGCGUACUGUCUGAGUUUAUAAUAAGUUCGAGGAGAUCAGGACAAAAGAAGAAACAAAGAUAAUACAUUUGCUAUUAGAAGUUCGGACUGCUUCAGCCUUAAGGGCAAAGCAUGAUUGUGUGUCUGAGGCGCCUGCUCAAAUCCCGAAUUUUGAAUUUUUUAUGUUGUUUUUGGGGUGCACUAGAAAAAGAGAUGAAACGGUAUACAAAAUUUCUUAAUGAUAAAUGAAAAAAUGCCAGCGCUGUUGAAGGCAGUAACUUGGAAGCUCUCUUUGAAAGUCCAUAUAAAAUAAUCUUCAUUUGGUCUUAAUUCAUCCAAAAGUUUGAUCUGCUUGUCAUUUAGUCAGCAGUAUUUGUUCUCCACAAUUAGCUUGAUAUAUUUUACAGGUGAGAAGGAAAUUGUGGGACAAAACCAUACUUUAUUACCGGUGUGAGGUUUUCUGAUAUCCUGAAAAAACAUAGAUAAAAUCAUUGCUGAUGUUCAUUUUACAUAAAGUGCUUUAGGCAGGCUUUCAUGUUCGGUACAUUGCUUAUCUUCAUAAAUAACAGAUUUUCCUUCAUUGCAAGUGGUGGCCAAAGUGAAAAACUACGUAUCUCUGCUGCGAUGUUUCAAGAUUUUCACUCUACUUUACCUUUUCAAAGCGAAACAAGCCAACUUUAUGACUUGAAAAUCCAGAAUAUUCGGCUAACAGGAGAAAAAAAUCUAAGAAAGUUUCAUUACUUUGACUGGUUUUCCAUGGAAAAAUAAAAGUAUGACAGGAAGUCUGCAACGUCGCAAACGGAGAUACUUUGACUGUCAAUAUGUUUUUUGAUACUUUUGAGGUACUUCUUCAAAUUUUUUGUUAAUCCCUUGAAACAAAUUAAAACGGGAAUGUUGCAAGGAGCGAAAAGUUACGAUUUAUUCAGAGUAUCCUAUGGAAAAGUUUGCAAGAAGAUAAACAGCACCAAUUAUUAAAAAAGUACAGAAUGGCCCAAUAAGUUAAAAAAGAAGCUGUUUUCCAAAGAUGAUUUAUUCAAACGAGAUUUUGGAGAGACUAGCAUUGUUUGUUA